GAGCGUGCCUUUUGCAGAAUGAGCCGGCGAGUUAUGGUAUUGUGCAAGGUUAAGUAGAAAAUACGGAGCCGAAGCGAAAGCGAGUCUUAAAAGGGCGAAAAAGUACAAUGCUGUAGACCCGAAACUGAGUGAUCUAGCCAUGAGCAGGUUGAAGUGUAGGUAACACUACAUGGAGGACCGAACCAGGGUACUAUGUAACGUGCUUGGAUGACUUGUGGUUAGCGGUGAAAUUCCAAUCGAACUCAGAGAUAGCUGGUUCUCCCCGAAAUAGGUUUAGGCCUAGCCUUGAAGAAUUUCCUCUGGAGGUAGAGCACUGAAUGUGGAAUGGCCGCGUCUAGCGGUACUGACUGCAAUCAACCUCCGAAUGCCAGAGUAGUUAGCUUCAGGAGUCAGUUUAUGGGUGAUAACGUCCAUAUGCGAGAGAAAAACAAUUCAGACCACCAGUUAAGGUCCCAAAAUAUAUGUUAAGUGGGAAAGGAUGUGGAGUUGCACGAACAGCUAGGAGGUUGGCUCAGAAGCAGCCAUCCUUUAAAGAGUGCGUAAUAGCUCACUAGUCGAGUGGCUCUGCGCCGAAAAUGUACCGGGGCUAAACAUAUUACCGAAACUGUGGAUUUAUGCGAUAGCAUAAGUGGUAGGGGAGCGUUCUAAGGGCGACGAAGAUAGAUCGAGAGGACUAUUGGAGCGCUUAGAAGUGAGAAUGCCGGUGUGAGUAACGUAAGGUAGGUGAGAAUCCUACCCACUGAUUGACCAAGGAUUCCAGGGUCAAGUUCGUCUACCCUGGGUAAGUCAGGACCUAAGGCGAGGCUGAGAAGCGUAGUCGAUGGACAACAGGUUUAUAUUCCUGUACUAUUUAUAGGACUGAAGGAGUGACAAAGGAAGCUAGUAAGAGCCAUUUAAUGGAUUAUGGUCUAAGCACAAAGACUGAUACAUAGGAAAAUCCGUGAUAUCGAACGGUUGAAGUGUGAUGGCGAAGCAGUCUACGGACAGCGAAGUCUUAUGAGGCUAAACUUUUUAAAAAAGCUUCUAAAGAAAUGCUAUAAAUACCUGUACUAAGAACCAACGCAGGUGGUCAAGGAGAGAAUCCUAAGGUGAGCGAGAGAACUAUGGUUAAGGAACUCGGCACAAUGAUCCCGUAACUUCGGAAUAAGGGAAGGUCUUGAAAAAGACCCGCAGUGAAUAGGCCCAAGCGACUGUUUACCAAAAACACAGGUUUCUGCAAAAGCGUAAGCUGAAGUAUAGGAGCUGACGCCUGCCCAGUGCUGGAAGGUUAAGAUGAUUUGUAAGAUGGACGAAAGUCGAUAACAUCGAAGCAAUGAAUUGAAGCCCCAGUGAACGGCGGCGAUAACUAUAAUCGUCCAAAGGUAGCGAAAUUCCUUGUCAGGUAAGUUCUGACCCGCACGAAAGGCGUAACGAUUUGGGCACUGUCUCAACCAUAGACUCGGUGAAAUCUUAAUACCUGUGAAAAUGCAGGUUACCAGCGACAGGACGGAAAGACCCCAUGGAGCUUUACUGUAGCUUGAUAUUGAAAUCAGGUAGUUAAUGUAGAGGAUAGGUGGUAGACAAUGAAGUUAAGACGCUAGUCUUAAUGGAGUCGACCUUGGAAUACCACCCUUUGACUAUUUGAUUUCUAACUUGCACCCGUAAUCCGGGUGAAGGACAGUGUCUGGUGGGCAGUUUGACUGGGGCGGUCGCCUCCUAAAGAAUAACGGAGGCGCUCAAAGGUUCCCUCAGAUUGGUCGGAAAUCAAUCAAAGAGUGU
rnacentral:rRNA from 1 species